rnacentral:rRNA from 1 species
CAGCAGCCACGGGAAUACGUAGGUGGCAAGCGUUGUCCGGAAUUAUUGGGCGUAAAGGGCUCGCAGGCGGUUUCUUAAGUCUGAUGUGAAAGCCCCCGGCUCAACCGGGGAGGGUCAUUGGAAACUGGGAAACUUGAGUGCAGAAGAGGAGAGUGGAAUUCCACGUGUAGCGGUGAAAUGCGUAGAGAUGUGGAGGAACACCAGUGGCGAAGGCGACUCUCUGGUCUGUAACUGACGCUGAGGAGCGAAAGCGUGGGGAGCGAACAGGAUUAGAUACCCGGGUAGUCCCUGUCUCUUAUAA